rnacentral:rRNA from 1 species
GUGGGGAAUCUUAGACAAUGGGGGAAACCCUGAUCUAGCCAUGCCGCGUGAGCGAUGAAGGCCUUAUGGUUGUAAAGCUCUUUCAGCUGGGAAGAUAAUGACGGUACCAGCAGAAGAAGCCCCGGCUAACUCCGUGCCAGCAGCCGCGGUCAUACGGAGGGGGCUAGCGUUGUUCGGAAUUACUGGGCGUAAAGCGCGCGUAGGCGGACCAGAAAGUUGGAGGUGAAAUCCCAGGGCUCAACCUUGGAACUGCCUUCAAAACUCCUGGUCUGGAGUUCGAGAGAGGUGAGUGGAAUUCCGAGUGUAGAGGUGAAAUUCGUAGAUAUUCGGAGGAACACCAGUGGCGAAGGCGGCUCACUGGCUCGAUACUGACGCUGAGGUGCGAAAGCGUGGGGAGCAAACAGGAUUAGAAACCCGUGUAGUCC